rnacentral:rRNA from 1 species
AUUGAACGCUGGCGGCAGGCCUAACACAUGCAAGUCGAACGGUAACAGGAAGCAGCUUGCUGCUUUGCUGACGAGUGGCGGACGGGUGAGUAAUGUCUGGGAAACUGCCCGAUGGAGGGGGAUAACUACUGGAAACGGUAGCUAAUACCGCAUAACGUCGCAAGACCAAAGAGGGGGACCUUAGGGCCUCUUGCCAUCGGAUGUGCCCAGAUGGGAUUAGCUAGUAGGUGGGGUAACGGCUCACCUAGGCGACGAUCCCUAGCUGGUCUGAGGGGAUGACCGGCCACACUGGAACUGAGACACGGUCCAGACUCCUACGGGAGGCAGCAGUGGGGAAUAUUGCACAAUGGGCGCAAGCCUGAUGCAGCCAUGCCGCGUGUAUGAAGAAGGCCUUCGGGUUGUAAAGUACUUUCAGCGGGGAGGAAGGGAGUAAAGUUAAUACCUUUGCUCAUUGACGUUACCCGCAGAAGAAGCACCGGCUAACUCCGUG